CCAAGUGGUGAGCACACGGGGUGGUGGCAGAACCCGCCCCACAAAAUCUCUCUCUCGUUUUAUCGUUGACCGCCGAGCAUCCAAUGUGAAAGAGUAAAAGCUGGAUCCGACCACGGUCCAUUUUGCGUGCCGGCGGCCUCACCGCCUUCCGGUGAUCCCGCCGUCACCCUCCGAUCCUGGGAAAAGGAUGCCCUCCUCUCCUCUCUCUAUGCGAUCCCUCUCCUCCUCCCUUUUUCGCUCCCUCCUCUUCCUCUUCAUGACCAUCUUCCUCCUCUACAUCCUCCUCUUCCCCAACCCCCUCCUCCGCUCCCCAGUCGCCUCCACCUCCGCCGUCCCCACUCCCGCCGGCUCCGGCCCCGGCGCCACCUCCGUCCGCCACCUCCUAUUUGGCAUCGCUUCCUCCGCCCGCUCCUGGCCCCGCCGCCGGGACUACCUCCGCCUGUGGUGGCGGCCCGCCCUCAUGCGUGGCUUCGUCUUCCUCGACUCCAGCGUCGGCGGCGGCGUAGCCGACGACCUCCCUCCGACUCGCGUCUCCGCCGACGCCUCCCGCUUCCCCUACUCCUUCAAGGGCGGCCUCCGAUCGGCCGUCCGCGUAGCCCGUAUCGCCAAGGAGCUGGUCGAGGCCGUCGAUGGCCGCUUCGCUCCUGGCGACGUGAGGUGGAUCGUGCUUGGAGACGACGACACGGUAUUCUUCCCGGAGAACCUCGCCGGAACCCUAGCGAAGUACGACUGGGAGCGGUGGUACUACGUCGGGGGUCGAUCGGAGGGCUUGCAGCAGAACAUGGCGCAUUCUUUCGGUAUGGCAUUCGGGGGCGGGGGGCUUGCAAUAAGCUAUCCGUUGGCGAGGGUUUUGGCGAAGGUUUUGGAUUCUUGCCUUGUGAGGUAUGCCCAUUUGUAUGGGAGCGAUGCUAGGAUUUUUGCCUGCAUAACCGAACUAGGGGUCGGCCUGACUUAUGAGCCAGGAUUCCAUCAGGUUGACCUUCGUGGAGACCUUCUGGGGAUGUUGUCUGCACAUCCAUUGGCCCCUUUGGUAUCACUCCAUCAUUUGGACAAUGUGGAGCCAUUGUUCCCUAGCAUGAAUCGUACAAUGGCCUUGAAGCAUUUAUUUGAAGCUGUAAAUGUGGAUCCAGCCAGAAUUUUACAGCAGACUGUUUGUUAUGACAGCUUGAAAAUGCUUACCAUUUCAGUUUCCUGGGGUUAUACAGUUCAGGUGUUUGAAGGCAAUCAACUUCUUCCGGACCUUCUCUCUUUGCAACAGACUUUUACUCCAUGGAGAAGAAAUCGCAAUAUCGUUUCUGGUUUGUAUAUAUUUAAUACAAGGGAGUUUCCAAGGGACCCAUGUGAAAGACCGGUUAUUUUCUUUUUGGAAAGUGUAUCUUUUGGUAGUGAUAGAAUCAACAGCAAUUACAGCAGACAUGUUACUAAUGAUUGUCUGCAAGGCAGGAGAUUAACAAAGAAUUUGCAACAGAUUAGAGUGUCCUCGCAGAAACUUAAUCAUGAGAUUUGGCAGGCUCCAAGACGACAAUGCUGUGAUGUUUUACCUUCCUUCACUGACAUGGUUUUGAAGAUAGAUAUUAGAAAAUGUAAAGAUGAUGAGUUGAUUGCUAUGCAACCAUAGUUAGCAUUGAGAAUACAGAAAAUAAAACAAAUCUGUUGAAUAUGAGACCUAAGAAGUCCCAUUUGUUAGCCUUAAGUCUAUUGUGUGACGCUGGGAAGACAUUAUAGCUAAAGGUAUAAUAAACAGACAAAUGGCAUCGGCUGUUGACAAAAUCUGCCCUAGCUAUUUUUUCGGUUAUAGUUUGUGAUCUUAAAAAGCAGUAGUUGGCUACAUAAGCAGGUUAAAAAGCGUGGCAGUCAGUUAAGAUUUAGAUCUAAAGAUACAAAAAGGUUGAUGUCUAUAGAUGAAGAGGAAGGGUUCAUACUGGUGAUAAAAUUUGCCUUUAUUGAUUAUGGAAAUGCUACCUAAUUCAUUGACCGGUAUUGAUCAGAUGCUGCUCUCUCUUCAUAUUGGAUAACAUAUAUGUGGGUGCUUUAAGUGCUUAUGCAUGCCUACAGAGUCAUGUAACUUUUAAAAUCUCCUAAUGAUGGCAGAUACUUACUCUUUUACUAUCUUAUUGGGGCACAUAGUACCAGGAUGCAGAUGACUUUAAAGAUGUAUAGACUUCUAAGAUUUUACAUCCCUGUAACAAUGCUGACUGUUAUGUAUUCCAUGUUUUCUUUUUCUUUUUCUUUUUUUUUUUGAUACUAAGCCAUUCUAAAUUUUGUUUACAUAUAAUGUCCUGCUGUUAGUUUCAGUCAAUGAUGCUUAACAGGAGAGAAACUUUAUCAGGGUUGGUUUUUCCUUAUAUUUUUACUGCAUAUGUCAUCUACCUCUUUGUUUUCUCGACAUAGACAAUUAUCAGAGAGAUUAGAUUAUUAGGCAAUGACUCUUUGCUAUCUAUGGUGACAUUGAGGGUGGAGGGACAAGUGUGAGAGGUGAAAAGUCACAUGGAAUGGGUAACUUGUUGCAUGUGAUUCUAUGAAUCUAUGUAGAGUGUAUGGUGGUGGAGCAGCUGGUUAUGCUUGAGAAUCUAGGCGAGACUAAAGUGGUUGAAUUGGAGCAGCACAACUUCACUUCCAUUUGGCGUUAAACUUUAUAAUUUGCUAUAGGCUCCGAGUGCAUAAGGCCCCCACCGCUACGUGGUUUGGGAGAGACAGAUAUAUACAGCUUUAUCACUAUAUGCAGAGGGAUUAUUUUCAUAUUUUGAAUCUGUGGCAUCCAAAUAAUAGUGGAGUAAUCUUACCAUUGUGCCACGUUCUUUAAAAUUUGCCAUACGUUCCCUCUCUCAUUGUUCCAAUACAGUGUGCUGUCAAACAAUGAAGAAAGAGAGAUUGCUUGUUUUAAAAUUAUAGUACUUAAAGAUUCAUGAGAGUGACAUGUGCUAGGCUUAUGAUGUCAGGAGAUCACUUUGUCAUGAAUCAUUUUGUUCGGACAAAGUAAUCCUCAGGGAAUGAAACAUCGAUGUUGAUUUUGUGGCUUACCAAAGAAAAGUCUAGGAAAAUGAACCAUUAGAACUAAUUAAGAAACCAACAUGACGAUGUGAUUAUGCUCCAUUGUCCAACAAUGACAAAGUUGGUUGCAUAGAAAGCAUGGAAAGGGAUCUUCAUAGUAUAAAAGGGUCUGAAGAGUAGCCAGGAGGCACUCUCACAGCACAUUAUAUGACAUUACUACUUCAAGAUGCUGGUCAUCUUCUUUCUCGUAGAUGGUGCGAGCAUGUUAUCACAUUUGACAGUACAGUUGAGGGUCAGGACUUGAUGAUAGAUGUGCAUCUUGCUUUUUAGGGAGUAGCACGAAUCAAAAUCUGCUAUUUUGAUAUUGAGUAUCAUAUUGGUAUCUACCUGAUAUGGCACAUUAUCAUACUAUAUCGUACCGGCAUUCUUGAUACAAAUACUAUACUUUUUGGUCUUUAUUUAUAUUUUUUUCAUUUUUUAAGAAUUAUUUGGAGGUUUAUGGAUGUUUAGAAGUACUAUAGUGUACUUCUAAAGUACCAAAUUAUGCCUAGGUUACUGCUCAAAGUACCCAAUUAAGGUUUUAUGGAUAUUCUAAGUACUUAAUAAAUCUCUUGUUAGCAAAUUUAGACAUUUUAAUAAUUUGAAAUUUGAGCUACAAUAGUUGCAAUUGGAAAUUCUAAGGUACGCUUUAUGGUGUUAUAUAUAUGUAUUAUUCUAAUUGCAAUUGUAUAUAGGUGGUAUUUGAAAAGAACAACUCAAAAGUAAAUACUGUAUUAGCUCUUAGCGCACGUGAUCAAUCAUGCUAAUAAAUAUCAAGAAAAAUCAUUAAGCUUUAAAAAGUUUGAAGCUUUCCAUUCGACAUUGUCUAAAAGGACUUGGACAACAUUAGUCUGUGGUGUCUCCUUCAGAAAUAAAUGAAAAUAAGAAAUGAACUUGGUAAGACUUUAUUUAUAUAUUGUCCCACACUUUGAUCAUUCUCAAUAGUACUUUCAAGUUACAACUAAAGAAUGGCAAUGGAACUAGCAAAAAUAAUAGUAUGGGAGCUAAAACACAAAAUGUGUACAUACUAGAGCUUUUA